rnacentral:lncRNA from 1 species
AGAGCUUUCACCAGACUUCUUGGGUUCGAGGGUCAGUGUCUUCUGCAUGGGUGUGUCUUGCUACAGCCCCAUGGGUGAAGCUAUGCUCACCUGUUCCUUUGUAAUAUAACCCCUUUCCCUGUUUAGGAUAGAAUCUUCCAUGGAAGUGCCUUGUGUGUGUCCCCUGCUCUUACUGUGCCCUUGGGUGUGGCCUACCCAGGUGUCAGUCAACCUGCUGACAGUGGACAACAUGAAGAUGGACUCAGCCCCCUGAAACCUGACCCCUUGCCUCAUUUGAAUAGCUUCUCCUCAAUAAAAGAGGGUCAGCACGUGUUCUCGCUCUCUCUCUUUCUGCGAACCCUUAAGGUCAGAGGAGCCAUCACAGCGACCCCAAAGAAAAAGAUAUUUGUGUCUCUUGUGUGGUUAUUUUGUGCAGCC